rnacentral:rRNA from 1 species
UACGUAGGGGGCAAGCGUUGUCCGGAUUUAUUGGGCGUAAAGAGCGUGUAGGCGGCCUUACAGGUCAGCUGUGAAAACUCGAGGCUCAACCUCGAGACGUCGGUUGAAACCGUAAGGCUAGAGUCCGGAAGAGGAGAGUGGAAUUCCCGGUGUAGCGGUGAAAUGCUCAGAUAUCGGGAAGAACACCCGUGGCGAAGGCGGCUCUCUGGGACGGUACUGACGCUGAGACGCGAAAGCGUGGGGAGCGAACAGG